ensembl:miRNA xtr-mir-204-1 xtr-mir-204-1
UAGAGGACUUCGACAUUGUGACCCAUGGGCUUCCCUUUGUCAUCCUAUGCCUGAGAAUGCUGGAGAGGCAGGGACAGCAAAGGGAUGCUCAGAUGUUACCUCUUG